GCGGACGGCGAGGGAGUCCAGAGCCUUGAGCCCGGUGCUCCUCCCUUGCGCAGCGGUGGCUCUGCGGCCGCUGGAGUAAACACUGCCUUUGUUCCCUAGCGCCUUGUCUUUCGUCGCCCCGUCCCCUCACGCCGCCGGGCUCCGGCCGGCCCGCCCUCGGUCCUUGAACCCCAUUUCGGCUCGUGCCGCGCGGAUGCGGCUGCCGGGCCUGGGUUUGGGUAUUGAGCGGGAGGAGGAGAAGGAGCGGCGGCGCCUGGGCGGCAUGCGAUGGGGAACUGCUGCUGGACGCAGUGCUACGGACUGCUCCGCAAGGAAGCGGGGCGGCUGCAGCGAGUAGGCGGCGGCGGAGGAUCCAAGUAUUUUAGAACAUGCUCAAGAGGUGAGCACUUAACAAUAGAGUUUGAGAAUCUAGUAGAAAGUGAUGAAGUAAGUAUUUCCAUAAUAGUACAAAACUUGUAUUUGUUUUUCUCAUUAAUCGUCUCAUUAGUUCUAACAAUUAUGUUUACAAUUUUUAUUAUUUUUGUUUUAGAAUUUGUAUUUUCUGGUU
rnacentral:sRNA from 1 species